GGUGACAUAUGCAACUCUUGCUUAAUAAACAAAAGCAAAGAUAUUACCUUGGUUAUAUAUAUAUAUAGAUAGAUGUAGUGACGAAACAGGAUAACAGACAUCCAAAUCGUUUCCCCGCAGCGAUUACUCCGUAAGGUGACCGCGCGCAACGGCUUCCCGUAUCCAAAACCGCGUGGGGGCCCUGCGUUUCUUCGUUCGCCGCAUAAUCUCUGCAAAGCGGAGGGCUUUUAUAGUCUACCAAUCCUGUUCCUUUCCGGGGAACUCCGUCUCAUACAAAAGCGGGAACCCAUCCGUCCCGCCCAUUGGAAGCUUCAUUCCGCCACUCCAAGCCAUCGACCGAUGGCGGUCUCCAAGAAUACAGAAACCCUAGCCCCCUCAUUGGAGGCGUCGGAGUUCCGCUGGAGGUCGACCUCCUCAUCCUCCUCCUCCGCCGCCUCUCAGGCGGUGCCGAACUCGUCUUCAAGAACGAGCUCUUCCAUCACCGAGAACUCGACCGCGGCGUCGGAUCUCGAUUCUAGGGCAGGAGCAGUCGGCAAUGGAGAUAUAAAGGAUCGGAUCAGCGAGGGGAGCGAUAUUGGUGAGGAGUAGAAGCAAGGGGAGCGAUAUUGGUGAGGAGUAGAAGGUGCGUUCGGGAUACAAGGUCGGGAGCGGUGGAGUUCCUUCUGGUGGAGGUUUGGCGGUUUGUGGACCGGUCUUUGGUGCAGGUGCAUGCGAGAGUGGUGGAGAGCCCAUUCGGGUCGGAUGCGAUCUUUCAACUGGUUUGCGUUCUGUGAUGAAUUCUCUUACUUUUUUGAUUGAAUGAUGAAUGCCCUCGUUUGGUUCUUGGUUUUGGCACAGUUGAAUGCGCCGAGUUGAAACAUUAGUAGGACACGUGAGUGAUGGUUUUUGUGAUACAGAAUAGAGGGCCGCUUGGAUAGCCAUUUGUGGAAAUGUUGUGGCCUCAAGAAAUUGAAGCCACGAGGUUAGAAGGAAAAAAUUGUUGUUGAGAGGAGGACUGAAGAAAUCGAAUCGUCGUCGUCUAUUCGGGUAGGUAUAUGUGAUCCCGAAGGAGAGCAAGCACCAAUCUUUGAGAUUUUUCUCUUUUUCUUUUCAGAGAAAAGGGAGGAGUAGACCCACCUAGUCCGCACCAGUUUUUGAGAAUUAAACUUCAUCACCAUUUAUUUGGUUUGGUACUUUGAAUUAGACAGCACAGGCACCAUUACGUCGUAUGGACAGCACGUUCAAUCAAUUACCUGUGACUUCUUGAUUAAAUGUUCAGCAUCAUGGCUUGCAUUUGGAGGGCUGUACUGCUUACGGGGAUUGGUAUCAUUCUCCCUAUUCUUUUUAGACCUUUUGUCUCCUUGAUUAAGCGACAGGCUCUAUCUUUGUUUUCUCUUUUUGUUGAAUUUUAAUCACUUGCAAAAUGUAAAACGAGAUACUAAGUUUUCCUGGAUUUUUUUUUUUAAAAAUCAUGGUCAAACCUGAUUACGAGUUAAACACUUGAACCAUGUGAAUGAUUAUGCCUAACUUUAACUUUUGAUUUUGACGUGUUGUGCCUGUGGUUUUUAUUUAAAUGAAAAACUAAAGGUUCAAAAACCAAAUUGCAGAAACCACUUUCAAACAUUCUAGACUGUUAUAUUUAGAGGACUUUUAGGAUUUGUGAAGCAGGUUUGAUAUUUCAGUAUUUCUAAAUAAAGUUAAGGACAUGAAUCCUUUUUAUAGCCUAAGCUACAGGUUUACUAAUUGAAGCUAUGUUUUAGCAUUUAAUCGAUUUAGGCAUCUGUUGUUCGUUUCAUCUACUCCUCCCCCCCCCCCCCACCACCACUCUCGCUUGUGCACUUGCUUACUGUGCUUCUUAAUAUUCUCCAUGAUCUCCCUAUUCUUCUUGCCUUUAUGAAUUAUGAAGGACAUCUGACUCUGAUUAUGCCUUUGUCUUUUUACAAUGCAGCACUAUCAGGUGUUGCUCAAUGCCAGCCAUGCCCCUGUAUGCAGAAAGGGAUAGGAGAUGCUGUACGUGUUUACAUAGAACCUCAUAGAUGAGGUACAUAUCAAACAUAAGUACAAUAAUCAAAUGAACAAUUUUGUGGAAGGGUUCCAUAAGGUAGUCUUGUGCAUUCUAACAGAAUUUUGUAAACAUGAGAUAUUUGAGAAGCUACUUGGCAGAUAACUAAAAACAUUUUUAGGGUCCUGGCUAUGCGAGACAUCUCUGGGUGAUUGCCAGUAAUGUUCUGGUGACUCUACAUUUGCGCCUGACUUGUGCAAGCAUAUCAUGUUCCUGAAGUUAGAUAUUAUUAUAAUUGCUGUGGAUGAGAAGAGUUUGAAGCACUUGAAUCUUAAAGUAUGUAGAAGUAGAGGCAUGUUAUGAAGUCGAGUAAUCAUUUAUGGAGGUCUGAAUGAGCUAAUAGUUCAGGAUAGAUAUCAAGAAAUUUAACAGAUGACUGUUUCUUUUUAUUCUUUAUUGAUCCAUGCUCAAGUUAGCCAGCCGGGAAGCAUAGCCUAGAGCCUUUCUUGAUAAGCAAGUACUGGAUGCAUCACCAAGUGGACGACAUGGAAUUAUGGUGGUUCUUCUGUAAAGUCUCGAGUCUAAUUAAUUUUUGGCUAAAUUAUGAUGCAUGGCUGUUAUUAUUGACAAUUAUGUUGCUAUUUAUAUGAUUUGCUUGCCAUCUAAUCCUGUUAUUGCCCUAAGAUUUGAUGCCACCUGUGGCAGAGCCAUGCAGGUCUCUUCAACCUUUCUGUAAUAGUUCUGAUUGCAGUCAACAGCAGGCUUAUUAUUGAGAACUUGAUGAAGUGGAUUUCUUUUCAGUUCAAAAUUUCUGAGAGAUUGGCCGCUGCUUAUAUCCUCACACUACCUGUUUCCCCUCUUGGUGCUUACAUGGUUGAAAACUUUGCAUUAUAAAAAGCUAAUUACUGAACCUGGUCAUGGAAUUGAACUCAAAAGGGGAGCUCUUCAAACUCUUCCUAGUACCCUUGGAUGGAUCAGACAUAUAUUACUUGCAUACUUCAUUUUUAAGCUGUCUGGAAAUGUCAACACUUCUGAACACUUGGGCACAGCAGCAUAAGAUGUGACAUGGUUGGACACUCCACUUUGAAGCUUCCUGCUGCAUCAGCGAAAGUGUCCAGCAAUUUGCACUUUUUUUGGGGUGACAUUAAGGUACUUUAACUUUGAAGUGUUGGACCCUUUUAGUGAAGUGUCAAGUUUCUUCGAUCAUGGUUGUAUCCUUCACACGAAAGGAUAUGCCUUCCUUCGCACGUGUUGACCAUUGGACGAUGGUCCAACAGUUGCUUUGAGAUCUGUGUGGGCAAAUGAAUGACGGAGUUUGGAGUGCUUUGAGAUCUGUGCAGUGGAUGAUCCAACAGUCGCUGGGUGCGAAUGAAGGUGCAUCCUUUUUUCAUGCGAAAGAUACAACCACAUUCCAACUUUCUUUGGAUUGUUCAGGUAAAGUGUUCUUAUAUGUUCAAUGUAAAAUUGUCAAGAUUAUAUAGGUACUUUAAGCAAAAUAUUAUCAUGUUUUAAAUAUCAACCUAAGCAUCUCAAUAUGCCUUAAAUGAACCUAGCGAAUAAAGUAAACAACUUAAAACCUUAUAGCUAUGCUUUUAAUUUAUUUGUUAAAUAGUGUCGCUCCUUUUUUCCUAGAGUUUCUUAUUUUUUUCCCCUCGAAUAAGCAAUAUAUAUGUCAUGUCCUCAUGUCUCCACCACCAAAGAACGCUUAGAUGCUUGCACCCAUGAUUGGAUCUGACUCCUGGUUUGAAUUAAAAUAUUUUGUGUAAAGGCUCUAGGAAUAAGCCAAAGGAAUACAGCAUUCCCUACAACUUCUCCCUCAUCUAGGCCCAAGGUCUGAUAGAUCUCUUAUAACAGCACGGUAAUCCUACAAGGUUUACAUGCUCGACCCUUAAGCUUAGACUUAAUGCAUUGGACUAGCUUCCUAUCAGAAAUAUGGGGCGACUGAAUUAGUUGUAAUCAAGGCUAACAAUCUUGGAAAGCUAUUUUAGUUAAGUACCGAGUCCCUAACCAAUACUGAGUUUGGAACCAGGAUUUCAAACCCUAUGGAUAUUAUCCCAUAUGAGGGGCAGCAGCUUGAAAAAUUUUGAAAACAUGGCAGUAGUUUAUGGAGUCGUAUUAUUUUUAAAGGAUCAAAUUUUAGUGAAGUGCCCGUCUUAUCUCAUGAUUGCAAAAUAAUGUUGUUAUUAGUGCUAGCGCAAGUAAUAGAAAAUCUAGUCUCAAGUGUUAGAAAACUACCUUUUUGGUUAUCUGAAGAAAUUGUGCGGUCCGUUCUUACAUUAUGUUGGAUUAUUAUCAUACCAGGUUCCUCUUGUCAUCUUGACAAAGUAUCUCCAGAAUAAAUUUAAAAACACAACACUUUUGAAGACAUUCAGCAAAAAAGAUUUCAACUAGUCGUCCUGUCAUCUGGAGAUAUUGAAAAGAAAUUAUCGUUUUCUUUUUCUAAAUUGAGAAUCUAUUGGCCAACUUUUAAUUUUCCUGGAGCACUGCGAGGUGGGAAACAUGGACCAUCUAGUUCUUCUUCAGCAAAUAUUUGUCAUCGCGCUUGUUUCAAAAGCAGGGAAUUUGAAGAUGCAUGGGUUUUGCAAUCUUUCGUCUUAUACACAGCUUGACGGUUUUACCCAUCACCUCAAGUAAACCGUGUUUUAGCAUAGUGCACCUUAACAGGCAGUGAGUGCGGUUACUCUUUCAUGCGAUUUCCAGGUCUCAGUAGAGCUAGUUCUUUUUUCCUAAUUCAUGUAGAAAGCAUCGUGUAACUUCUUGGACCCCUGUACCAGUUCAGCCUUGUUAGCAUACUUCAAAUUCAGCUUCAUUUCUGAUAUUUUUGGGUCCUCGGUAGUAUUCAAUUCCAGGAAAAAUAUACAUGCAUAAAAAGCAAUGUAUUGAUUUUUAUUAUUCAAUUUGUACGCCUCCACUGAGGUGAAAACACAAUUUACUGUAAAGCUGACUCCAUCUUCGCCCCUAAUCUCAUGGGUUCAUGAGAUUGCCGAGCAAUCAGAUUUUAAUGCGUGGUAAAGUAUUAAUUUGAGUUUUUAAGCUUUGCAUGAAUUAGGAUCUGUCCAAUUGUACCAGGUUCGUCUCUAGGAGAGGCUUUUCUAAUUGAUUCUGUCCAUGAUGUCACCAAAGUCAGGAGACAGGACAUCUUCUUAUGCUCGCAUCACAGAGCAGAUCACUGCUUUCGGAGAAUUCAUGACUGGGACUGCGACACACUCAGCCGGCAAAGCACAAGGAGUAGAGAUUAAAUGAUGCAUGCGUUUGAUAGGGCUGUGUACCUGGAUAUGGCUCAGUCCAACAUGGUCAUUCUGGUGUGAGACUCGUGAUCCGCAGAUUACCUCAGCUCUUUGGAACGCAGCCUGUCAACUAGUGCUGGAACUCACAGAGAUAGGCAUCGUAUUUCACUUAACAAUUCCACAGGGCAACGCCUUAGAUUGUACUUUUGAAUGCUUUUAGUUUGUAUUGAGCUUCGGUUCCCUUGCUCGCCACCCAAAACAGGGGGACAAGACAUGACCGGCAGAGAUUCCGAUAAAUUUGCCAUAUAAAGCAUAGUUAUAAUUCUAUCAGAAAAGGUGGCAUAUUAGAUCAGCAUAUCAUACUAAUAAUUCAGUUUUCUUACAAUUUUGCUACUUGAAAGUUAUUUAGAACUGAUGACCACAGAAGCAACUUGAGUAAUAGCAAUAUAUUUUUGUGGUUACUUUAAAA